GGAGACGGUGGUUUAGUGGCAGAGCAUCUGCUUUGCGUUCAGAAGGCCCCAGGACGGUUCAGUUCCUGGCAGCGUCUCCA
rnacentral:tRNA from 1 species